CAGGAAGUGGGGGAGACAAUCUAGACCAUGCUGUGAACCUUAACUAGCUGUUGGCAGAAAAAUGAAGACCAAAACUCAGCCCAGAAGAAAAUGGAAUUAUGGGGAAAACAACAUGUGGAAAAUGAGUUGCUAUGGAAUGGGAAGAGAAUGUGCUCAUGGACACCUCCCACUCAGUGUCUGGAGCACAGUCCACACUCAGUAGUGAGCACUCAGUAUAAGAGGAAAGAGGUCCCUUCUCACCGAUUUUCUCUGGACUCUCAGAAAUGAUACAGAGCUUAAGAAUGGGCCUUGCUCUUUUGUUUACCAGAUGAAACACUAAAGACUCAAAUUGUAAUUGGUGAGUAGUAGAUAAUGUGGUUGUCUGAGUGCCAAAUUGCCAUCCCAACUCAACCUCCUCCCUGUGUCAGAGACCUGAGUCUUAAAGAUAUAUUGUGUUGAUAAAACAGUCUAUGCUGCCCCUGGAUGGGAUGCCUGGAACCAUGGGCCCUAUUUUGAGAACAAAAGCCACUAAGGUUUGCGGAGAAAAAGAAGGGAAAAGACAUGGAUACUUAACAUGUUACUGAGCAACUGAAUUACCCGACCCCAGAACUGCCUUCUCCCUGGCCUUGCUGUUAAGUGAAUCACUGAAGGUUGAUUUAGCCGUUACUUGAAGCUGAGAGCAUCCUAAGUGACAUGGUUAUAUAGAAAGUGGCUGAGCUGAAGUCAAGCCAAGACCAGUUCUAAGGGAAAAAACUAGUGGAAGCUAAGAGUGAGGAGAAGCCAACCGAUAAUUGGGCGGUUAUUUGAAUGGGACCUUCAGGUUUCUGGACAGUUUUCAACUAUUAAAAGGUUCCAAGUGCUGAGCUGCUUUCUCCUGCCACACCCAGUGCGUCUGCCAAAAUGUUCUGCCUCACCUGAGGCCCAGAGCAACGGAGUUGAUCAUCUAUGGACUAAGACCUCCCAAACUGCAGACCCCCACAUAAACUUGUCCUCCUCUAAUUGUUCUUGUUAGGUCUUUUGGUUACAGCAGGGAAAAGCUGACUAAAACCCCUACUUCCUACCACCUACCUUCUAGAGGCUUACUUACCUCAGAGUCAGUCAUCCAUAAACUGGGCCCACUGUGCUGACCCCACAUGCUUUCUUUUAAAAAGCAAUUUACCUGCACCCCUGCCUGGCCUAAGUCAAUAGACUAUGUUGCAUAAAAACUUUUAGGAGAAAUUCAGGAGAAAGGCUCAUCCCUGCCAAAAUGAAGAAUUCAAGUUACACUGAAGUAGGGGCUUCUAUGAUCCUUACACAGGAUCAGAUUCCAGAACUCAAGGAGAUUUGAUAGCUAGAACCAGUUAGCAUGGGCCAAAGUAACUCACAGUUGCCUUGGAUCUUUAGCAUGUCAACUCUCCCCUCCAUGGGGUAACACCAUGCACAGAAGGACCUGAGAGUCUGAUGCAAUCCUGCUGUCAGUCAAAAGUCAAGAGGUAGUCCUGGUGGGACUCUAUAGAAACUUCCCUGAUGUUAGGGGAUAGACACAUGAGAAUGGUGGGAACACAAAGUUAAGAGAACAAUGACAUAAAAUAGACCCACAGUGCUGACCCCCUCAGGCUUUCUUUGCCAAAAAGCGAUUUGCCUGCAGACCUGCCUGGCCUAAAUGGACAGGAUAUAUCACAUUCCUCAACAAACUACCUGUUUUCUGCCAGGAAAUGCAGGCAGGAAAUAACAUUUACAAGAGGAACCCAAGUUACUUUGAAAGGAGAGAUAUUUGUGACCCUUUUCACAGACCGGAUUCCAGAAGAUAAGGAUAAGUCCUCCCCACCAUAAAACUUGUAAAAAUAGUUAAGAAUCCAAUUAGACCCAGUCAGCAUGGGCCAAGGUGACAUAGAGUUGUCAUUGGCAACAGGGACUUGAAAGUGUGAUGUUACCCUGCUGUCAGUCAGAAGUCAUGAGGUUGACCUGGGCAGGACUCUCUGGGAUCCCCAAUAAAACUGGAUUGCAGGAGAGACACAUUGUCUCCCUAUUCUCUAAGAGGACUCACUCUCUCCCUUGAGAGUGUCCCCUUUCCCUUUUCCUUUCCUUUCAAUAAACUCAUUCGUGUUACUCUGA